GAUGAAGCAGAGGAAUUUCCGAAAGAGAAGUAGAGUAGACGACGGGGAAGACGACUCGUCAACUAAGGAUAACAACGGCUCCGACGACGAGCAAGAAAGGAGAUUGGCUUUAGAGGAGGUGAAGUUUCUUCAAAAACAAAGAGAGAGGAAGCUAGGUGUACCAGCUGUAUCCUCAACUACAUCACAGGUUGCAGCAGGAGGAGGCGGCGGCGGUAGUAAUAGCAGUGCAGGUGGUAUGGUUCGCAAGGUGAAUGAUAAGGGUGAAGGGGAUGGAGAGAAGGAUGAGUUGGUGUUGCAAGAUACUUUUGCUCAGGAAACUGCUGUCAUGGAAGAAGACCCUAACAUGUUGAGAUAUGUUGAGCAAGAGUUGGCCAAAAAAAGAGGCAAGAACGUUGAUGUGGCUGAUCAAGUUGAAAAUGAGGUGAAGCGUGCAGAAGAUGAACUUUACAAAAUUCCAGAGCAUCUUAAAGUGAAAAGGAGGAACUCAGAAGAGAGCUCUACUCAGUGGACUACUGGAAUAGCUGAAAUACAGCUCCCUAUAGAGUACAAAUUGAAAAAUAUCGAGGAGACAGAGGCUGCUAAAAAGCUCCUACAGGAGAAGAGGCUCAUGGGAAGAGCCAGAACUGAAUCUAGCAUACCUUCAAGUUACUCAGCAGAUUAUUUCCAACGUGGCAAGGAUUAUGCUGAAAAACUCCGGAAAGAACAUCCUGAUUUGUACAAGGAUAAGAGUAAGGAUACUAAAAAUUCAGAAUCCAAACCCCAAGAUUCAACUUCAGAUGGAGCUGUUAAAAGGCAAGCUGCGACUGAUCAGUUCAUGCUUGAGCGCUUCCGUAAAAGAGAUCGUCAUAGGGUGAUGCGUAGAUAGUUCAUUGAAUAUGGUUCUCCCACAUACUCAAGCUGCUCCUCAGUGAAAAGUACAACUGUGCUGUGAAAGCAUAAGCUGUGUUGACUUGGAAGUAUCUGUCAUUUCAACUUCACCAGCCCCCAUCUUACAUUUUGGUGAAGAACUUUUACCAGCCCUAUUUUAUAUGCAGGUUGAUUUCUCUACUUUCCAUGAGGACUAAAAUAUGGUGGCAGUUCACUGUUGUUUUAUAUUUUUCUGGCCUUUUAUCUAUUUUACUUUUCCUUGUCAUUCACAGUGUUGCCUUUAUGCCCCCAAAAGGAAAAAUGACCACUUGGUUAAUUUGUUUUAUUCAUAAAAAUGUGUAUUAUCUCAUGGGGAUUGCUAGGCUGUGAUUUA
rnacentral:misc_RNA from 1 species